rnacentral:rRNA from 1 species
UGGGGAAUUUUGGACAAUGGGGGAAACCCUGAUCCAGCCAUCCCGCGUGUGCGAUGAAGGCCUUCGGGUUGUAAAGCACUUUUGGCAGGAAAGAAACGUCAUGGGUUAAUACCCCGUGAAACUGACGGUACCUGCAGAAUAAGCACCGGCUAACUACGUGCCAGCAGCCGCGGUAAUACGUAGGGUGCAAGCGUUAAUCGGAAUUACUGGGCGUAAAGCGUGCGCAGGCGGUUCGGAAAGAAAGAUGUGAAAUCCCAGAGCUCAACUUUGGAACUGCAUUUGUAACUACCGGGCUAGAGUGUGUCAGAGGGAGGUGGAAUUCCGCGUGUAGCAGUGAAAUGCGUAGAUAUGGGGAGGAACACCGAUGGCGAAGGCAGCCUCCUGGGAUAACACUGACGCUCAUGCACGAAAGCGUGGGGAGCAAACAGG